rnacentral:rRNA from 1 species
CCCUUAGAUGUUCUGGGCAGCACGCGCGCUACAAUGGUCUUCGCAAACGGAUGCAUUCUCGAAGGAGAAUGCCAAUCUUGGAAUCUAUGCCUUGGUCGGGACAGUUGCUUGCAAUUUUUCGACUCGAACCAGGAAUUCCUUGUAAUCGUGAUUCAUCACAUCACGAUGAAUACGUCCCCGCCCUUUGUACACACCGCCCGUCGCUCCUACCGAUCGAAGAGUUAGGUGAAUUGUUUUGAUCGAUAAGAUUUGACUAUGGUCAACUCUCGUUGUGAAAUUCUGUGAAUCUGACUGUUUGGAGGAAGGAAAAGUCGUAACA